rnacentral:rRNA from 1 species
AUUGAACGCUGGCGGCAUGCUUUACACAUGCAAGUCGAACGGCAGCACGGACUUCGGUCUGGUGGCGAGUGGCGAACGGGUGAGUAAUACAUCGGAACGUGCCCAGUUGUGGGGGAUAACUACUCGAAAGAGUAGCUAAUACCGCAUGAGAACUGAGGUUGAAAGCAGGGGAUCGUAAGACCUUGCGCAACUGGAGCGGCCGAUGGCAGAUUAGGUAGUUGGUGGGAUAAAAGCUUACCAAGCCGACGAUCUGUAGCUGGUCUGAGAGGACGACCAGCCACACUGGGACUGAGACACGGCCCAGACUCCUACGGGAGGCAGCAGUGGGGAAUUUUGGACAAUGGGCGAAAGCCUGAUCCAGCAAUGCCGCGUGCAGGAUGAAGGCCUUCGGGUUGUAAACUGCUUUUGUACGGAACGAAAAGCUUCGGGCUAAUACCCUGGAGUCAUGACGGUACCGUAAGAAUAAGCACCGGCUAACUACGUGCCAGCCGCCGCCGUAAAAC